rnacentral:rRNA from 1 species
CGGUAAUGACGUUGGGAAAGCGAGCGGCGGAUGGGUGAGUAACACGUGGGGAACCUGCCCCUAAGUCUGGGAUACCAUUUGGAAACAGGUGCUAAUACCGGAUAAUAAAGCAGAUCGCAUGAUCAGCUUUUGAAAGGCGGCGUAAGCUGUCGCUAAGGGAUGGCCCCGCGGUGCAUUAGCUAGUUGGUAAGGUAACGGCUUACCAAGGCGACGAUGCAUAGCCGAGUUGAGAGACUGAUCGGCCACAUUGGGACUGAGACACGGCCCAAACUCCUACGGGAGGCAGCAGUAGGGAAUCUUCCACAAUGGACGCAAGUCUGAUGGAGCAACGCCGCGUGAGUGAAGAAGGUUUUCGGAUCGUAAAGCUCUGUUGUUGGUGAAGAAGGAUAGAGGUAGUAACUGGCCUUUAUUUGACGGUAAUCAACCAGAAAGUCACGGCUAACUACGUGCCAGCAGCCGCGGUAAUACGUUAGGUGGCAAGCGUUGUCCGGAUUUAUUGGGCGUAAAUCGAGCGCAGGCGGAAAAAAUAACGUCUAAUGUGAAAGCCCUCGGGCUUAACCGAGGAACUGC